rnacentral:rRNA from 1 species
GACGAACCGUGCGAACGUUGUUCGGAAUCACUGGGCAUAAAGGGCGCGUAGGCGGCUCGCGAGGUCGGGGGUGAAAUCCCACAGCUUAACUGUGGAAGUGCCUUCGAUACCGGCGAGCUCGAGGGAGGUAGGGGUGCGCGGAACUUCUGGUGGAGCGGUGAAAUGCGCAGAUAUCAGGAAGAACACCCGUGGCGAAGGCGGCUCUCUGGGACGGUACUGACGCUGAGACGCGAAAGCGUGGGGAGCGAACAGG